CACGUAGGGGGCAAGCGUUGUUCGGAAUUACUGGGCGUAAAGGGCAUGUAGGCGGUUCGGUAAGCCUGGCGUGAAAGGUCGCGGCUCAACUGCGACACUGCGCUGGGAACUGCUGGACUUGAGUCACGGAGGGGGAGCUAGAAUUCCGGGUGUAGGGGUGAAAUCUGUAGAUAUCCGGAAGAAUACCAGUGGCGAAGGCGAGCUCCUGGCCGAUGACUGACGCUGAGGUGCGAAAGCGUGGGGAGCAAACAGGAUUAGAAACCCCUGUAGUCC
rnacentral:rRNA from 1 species